rnacentral:lncRNA from 1 species
UGCUAAUUMAUGCUCUCAACACAUCCAGCUGAUUGCAGUCUCUUUUUGUACAGGAUGGGGCUAUGCAGGUGUGUUGGCUUCUCGGGAAACACUCUCAUUGGCAGAAGAUGGGCCAAAAUCCCCAGCUCCUGCUCUCACCAUUAAUCUUCAAUGACCUCCGUUCGUCUUGAUGACACAUCUUGCAUGAGGUGGGCAGUUUUUCUGAGCAAACUCGUCCUCUCCUGGCUGUAAAGCAAGCGCAUUAGCAAGCGGGAGCUGGCUCGCAAGUGUGUCCUGCAAAUCUACCGUAUCCCUACGGCCACGGUCGCUCCUGCCGGAUGCCGGGAGUAYGUCUAACCCUGAGAUCCUGGAGUUUGCCAUCAGUGCCAGGUUGAGGUUGCCGGGUCGGACGCUCACGACCGAAAGGUGCUGCGGAAGGAGGGCUGUCACGCACUGCUCCUGCCGCGGUCCGCGGUCCCGGUUCCAGGUUAACCCGACCUUCCACGUGCAGUUCUCACCCGUAAAAACACGGGAGGGAAGCAGGCAUCAGGUGCUACCCCGUGGUCUGGGCAGCGUGUUACRGUCCCUCUGCAGAGGUGCGAAUGAUGGUACGAGGUUUGGGACGGUGAACAUUCAGGCCCUGUGUUUUCUGCUUAAAUGCUCUGCAAUAACACAGGGCAGAUUCUGUAGUGUUACUGGAUUCUCUCAUUCCUCGGGCAUGUUGUAAAGCAGGAUAUUUCAGAUCAGCUGCUUCCAACCAUCCGACAAGACGUGUGGCUUGUUCUCAGCAGCAGACGGGCAAUACAUGCUACGGUUGCUCGUCAAAGUCCCCAAACAUAUUUCUUUUGGAUUGAAAUUCUUCAUGUUUAAUAUAAGAUCCUGUACUUAUUGAUUCAGUUGUUUUUAGGUGUUGGAAAGUAUAUAUAUWUUUUUUCUCUCUGUUCGCACUGAUGGAAAGUCAGAAAAUGAGAUCAUUCAAAAAUGACUAAAAGCAAAUAGGCCAGACCUGGCUUGUUAUACAUAUUUCACCAAGGCCCAAGUUUCAAGCCAAACUGAAAGAAAGUUAGCUGRGCAGGUUUAAAGCUGGCAGUGCACAUGACAGUGUAAAUGUUAUGAAUUAUUUUAACGGCAAGCCGCGAAAUGGUAUUGCUUUUGUAAAAUUAUCUUGACAACAAAUGGUCUCGUUCAAGGCUUUCCAAAACGGGCCAGCAUACAUCAGGCAGUCCCUGGCACGGCUGCUAGGAAARAGACAGAAUAUCUGCAUCGGCAAUGAGCAGAUCAUAUAAUAUCUUAGGAACGGCAAAGUCUGGGCAUCAGAUGUUCGUAGGUCUUUAUUGUGUUUCCAAGAACUUACUGUGAAAAUACAUUCUUGAUAAGUGUGAUCUGGAAAAAAGAAACAAAAAUCCCUCUGUGAAACCUAAAUAAACUGUGAUGG